CACCUCUAAUCCUCCCCAUCAGUUCGUCCUAAACAAAACGGCCGCACGAACGCACCACGACCUUCUCUCCUCCUCCUCUGCUACCCACUCCACCCGACGAUCCUCCACUCGGCCGCCCCCUGUAGAUCCUCCGCUUGGCCGCCCGCCGUAGAUCCUUCGCUCGGCCGCCCCCAGCCGAUCAUCCUCUGCUGCCCCGCGGACUGCCGCCGCCGAUGAGCCCAUCUGAUGGCGGUGCCGACCCAUCUUCUGGUGCUGGAUGCGGCAACCAGGGCGAAGGAGAAGAAAUUAAUGUAGACUACCACCAUCGCCAGGUUGCACGUGAACAACCGACCGUUGUGGUGGCCUUCAGGUUGGCCACGGAGAAGUCCUGGAGCGGCGGCGUGUCCAAGAGGAUGCAGCUCGCCAGCCCGCUGCCCGCUGCCCGCCGCUCCUCCCCUGCCUUCUCCUUCUCUCCCUUUCCUUCUCCUUCCUUCUUUCCUUUCUCCAUGUUUUUUCACCUCCGGCUCCCUCUCUGUCGACUGUCUCUAUGCAGCUCCGCCUCUAUGGAGAUCGCCGCCCCGCGUGUGCCGUCACCUGUAAGACUCCGUUCGACGCCCGUCGUCCUCGCCUCCCAUGUCUCCUGCCGCUUGCCCCACAUCGUGGUGCACCAUGGAUGCCAGCCAGAUCGAGCAUGGGCACGAGAGGCGCCGCGCUCCCCUCCUUGCACGGCUGCUUUGCUGUCGUCGUCUCACCCAUCGCCGACUAGCAGAGUGGUCCACUUCCGGCACCGCAAUCCCAGCCAUCACCUGCGCCUCCCUCCGUCGCUGAUCCGCGGCCCGGCCCCGCCUCUGCCGUGCGUCGGCGGGAUACGCUGCCCAGGUACUGUCCGGCAGCAGCAUGCAGAUUUCUGAAACAAAAUUGAAUUUUCAGUGUCACUGGUUCAGAGUACGUUCAACUUCGUGCAUGUUGAAUACAUAUGGCCUAUGGGUGCUAUUUUACUCUCACUUCUAAGCUAUCCAAUGCAAUGGAUAUUUCCUGAUCAUCGUUCAUAAAAAAGACUCUACUGACAUAUACUUACAAAGCUUACAUCAGCAUGUUUUUUUUCUUACAUCAGCAAGUUAUUGUUUAAACUGGCGAGCAAACGAAUGUAAUCGAACACAUAUUUUUGGGGAAUAAAUUGUUAUACUAUAUUCAGUAACACACUAUUUCGUAGAUGAAAAUCAAUAUUCAACUUAAGGUAUUCUCGCAGAACCAUGAAUAGGAGCUACAUAUAUCGGUUUCGGCCAAAUAAAUUCUGAAGGUGGAAUACCAGUGAGAGCAGGCUCGAGACAUUGUGCUUUUUCAGUUGCUUUCUUCACCAAAUUGGGCAGCCUUUCUGUGUUCCCACAUGAUUUAUCGUUUGUAAUUUUAAUAUUGCAGAUGGAGAAUAAUUAUCCAUCUAGAUAUCUAUUGUAUGCUAGAGAGCGUCCCCGUUUAAAGGUCUAACAAACACAACUAUUGACGUAUAAUGUGCUGCCUAGUCUCUUCCAUCAGAUCGGUCUUUUGGUUGCAUUGGCUAGAACAUGCACUUCUAUAUGGUAUCAGAGCCAAGAGUUCUUGAGUUCAAGACCCGGCUGACGCAAUUAUAUUGCAGCCCACUUUCGGUCCACGUUUAGGCCUGAGGGAGCCACAUGAGGGGGAGUGUUGACGUAUAAUAUGCUGCCUAGUCUCUUCCAUCAGAUCGGUUUUUUGGUUGCAUUGGCUAGAGCAUGCACUUCUAUAACAACGAUUGAGGGGAAUGGAGCUUCCCAUCUCCAACAAAAAAAAUGCCACUGGUCAGGUGUGGUAUGCCCAAAUGUCAGUCGAGAAGAAAGCAGAAUUUCUCCAGAAGCAUCAUUUAGCCCCAGGAAAAGAAGGUUGCAGCUCUGGAAAGUGUUGCCACGGACCAAGUAGCAAACACGCCUGCUUCUGCGUCAAGGUCUAUGCAAUGUACUCAUCUGAGUGACAAAACAUACAGACGUAUAAAUGCCUGUGUAACUACAGACCCGUGACUGCUGAUCUUCAACUUGAUAAAAAAUUAGUCGGACAAAGAAAACAAACAUGUCAAGGUUGGUAUGCUGAGCUAUCAAAUGAGAAAGCAGAAUACCUAAAGAAGUAACGAACGGCUCGGCUACAAAAGAAAGAUGCAGCCGUUGAUGUGAAUGUCGAAGUACCUCAAUUAUCUGACCCACAUGUUUCACUGGGGGAUAUGCUCCGGUCUGACAUGGCGCUUGGCGAUAUUCCGCCGCUCUAUGAUGAUGACUGUGGCAUUGCGGAGUCGAACAUGGCAUUCCCGAUCCACCUUCGAUGAGUCGCCAGACAAGAAGUCACAAAGUUGCUGAACUAUGACAUGUACUAUUUUAGAGAUGUUCAAGAUUCGGCUUUGGGGUUAGGCUUGUUUUCUCAAUGGUUUGAUCAGAGUAGCUGCUGUUGCGAAAACCUAUUUGCUUGAUGAGGACAAUAAGAUUACAUCAGGCACUUGGGCAUCAUUCACCCUAAA